CAUGCAAGUCGAACGAGCGAGAGAGAGCUUGCUUUACUCGAGCGAGUGGCGAACGGGUGAGUAACGCGUGAGGAACCUGCCUCGAAANAGGGGGGACAACAGUUGGAAACGACUGCUAAUACCGCAUAAGCCCACGGGUCGGCAUCGACCAGAGGGAAAAGGAGCAAUCCGCUUUGAGAUGGCCUCGCGUCCGAUUAGCUGGUUGGUGAGGUAACGGCCCACCAAGGCGACGAUCAGUAGCCGGUCUGAGAGGAUGAACGGCCACAUUGGGACUGAGACACGGCCCAGACUCCUACGGGAGGCAGCAGUGGGGAAUCUUCCGCAAUGGGCGAAAGCCUGACGGAGCAACGCCGCGUGAGUGAAGAAGGUCUUCGGAUCGUAAAGCUCUGUUGUCGGGGACGAAUGUUGAGGCCAAGAAUAUAGGUUUCAAAUGACGGUACCUGACGAGGAAGCCACGGCUAACUACGUG
rnacentral:rRNA from 1 species